CAGCUUCAUAUAUGUUUAAGACAAGGAUAAUGUGGAUGGUCACUGCAGUGCCCUUUUUGUGGGCUGGGAUUUCUGUUGCCCAUGCUUUUUCCAAAGGAAACUUUUCCUGACUGCACCAUUCAUGUGUUGGAGGAUGUGGAGCUGUUUGUGCCUGAGAGCCUGAGCAGAGCUCAAAUGAGAAUUCUAAAGGCAACACAAGCCCCCAGGACAUUGUUUUCCAGUCUGUGAGCAGAAGCUUUUGACUGCUGCAGAAGUUCCCCUCUGUCUCAUCUGAAGCUGCUGUAAAGCAUUUGCCAGCCAAUGCCCUGAUGUUCCCCCACCCAAAGAGAAUUAAUGGCUGAGCUGGAAUGAAGAGCACAGCACAGAGAGCAGGCAUGGCCCAGACCUCACAGCACUAAUUAUGCCCUUAAAGGGACUGAAUUGCUAAUUUUGGACAGUCACGGGAGCUGCUCUGGAAAUGCUUGCUAGAGCAAAUGCAAAUAUAUCAUUACAACACUGAAUUAAGGGUCAAGGAAAAUACUGUUGCUAAGAAGCUGGACACACUGAAGAUAUUCAAGACUGAUGGACCAGAACCUCUUGCAUCCAUACCUGUGACAAAUGGAAAAGACAAAGUUGAAGGGGGAAGCAGCUUGAACCUACUGGCUAGUCUGGGAAUGAGGAUCUGCUCGCUGCUGGUGCCAUCCC